AAUUCUCAACUCCUCUAGUUAUUGUGACUCAGAUGGAGCUUGGAUGUGGGGGUUUUGCGGGCCCAGCUUACAUUGGGUCGGCUCCUCUGAAAUGCAUUAGCGGAACCGUUUGCGAUCCGUCACAGGUGUGAUAAUUAUCUACGCCAGUGGGUUGCUCUCUGUCUUGUUCAGCUGCCAACCGUCCGCAAGGACAGACUAUUACUGAAA
rnacentral:misc_RNA from 1 species